AGGAUGAACGCUAGCGGCAGGCCUAAUACAUGCAAGUCGAACGGUGGUAGCAAUACCAUAGUGGCACACGGGUGCGUAACACGUAACUAACCUACCUAUAACUGGGGGAUAGCCCGCCGAAAGGCGGAUUAAUACCGCAUAAGCUACUGAUUUGGCAUCAGGUUAGUAGUAAAGAUUUAUUGGUUAUAGAUGGGGUUGCGGGUCAUUAGCUAGUUGGUAGGGUAACGGCUUACCAAGGCGACGAUGACUAGGGGAGCUGAGAGGCUGGUCCCCCACACGGGCACUGAGAUACGGGCCCGACUCCUACGGGAGGCAGCAGUAGGGAAUAUUGGGCAAUGGGCGAGAGCCUGACCCAGCCAUGCCGCGUGCAGGAUGAAGGCUUUCUGAGUCGUAAACUGCUUUUGACAGGGAAGAAUAAGUACUACGUGUAGUAUGAUGACGGUACCUGCAGAAUAAGCACCGGCUAACUCCGUGCCAGCAGCCGCGGUAA
rnacentral:rRNA from 1 species